rnacentral:rRNA from 1 species
GAAGGCUGAAAUUCGCCUUCAUGAAGCCGGAAUUGCUAGUAAUGGCAGGUCAGCAUACUGCCGUGAAUACGUUCCCGGGCCUUGUACACACCGCCCGUCACACCAUGAGAGUUGGGAAUACCCGAAGCCUGUGAGCUAACUGUAAAGAGGCAGCAGUCGAAGGUAGAAUCAAUGAUUGGGGUGAAGUCGUAACAAGGUAAC